UUUCAAGCUUGGUGCAGCAGUGAUCAACUCUUCGAUCGAAGGUCCAUCCGUGGUUCGAUUGAGCUGAUUUUUGGACAGCAGCUAGGUGAUAAGGUGUUCUUGACUUUGUACGGUCAGAUUUUUCAUCCGAGUCUUGUAGCAUCGGAAAUACCCAUUUUUCAGCAGCUACGUUUUUGGUGAUGUUCUCUCAUUUUUCUCUCUUUUGCUAAAGAUUACAUGUUGUUAGCCUUGUCGAAGUUGAAUGCUUGUUGUAGGCUUGAUAUUGUGAUCUUGUAGUUGAACAUUUGAUGAUAGUGGAGCUCUUUAUCGGACUCUAAAGUCCCGUGGUUUUUACCCUUAAUUUAGAGGGGUUUUCCACGUAAAAAUAUCGGUGUCUCUAUUUAUUUUUGUUGUGGUUGCAUUAGUUGAUUUGUAGUUGAUUAAGGUUGCUAGAGAACAUAUCUUGUGCUAUUGUGCUUGCCAUAAUUUUUACAGGAGUUAUAAGGAGAGAAAGAACACCGGUUGUGCUUUCGCUUUGUUUCGGUUGUUCGGUUUCUUCCCAACAAACUGGUACCAGAGCUUGGUUAUUGUGUCAGAUAAUUAUGGAAAUUAAUACGAGCAAGAUGAUUAUGUUGAAUGGCACAAAUUAUCAACUUUGGCGGAAUAAAAUGAAGGACUUGUUGUUUGUGAAGGCUUUGCAUCUUCCGGUCUUUACUACUCAAAAACUCGAUUCGAAAAGUGAUGAAGAAUGGGAAUUUGAGCAUCAACAAGUGUGUGGCUUUAUUCGGCAAUUUGUUGAAGAAAAUGUUUACAAUCACAUUGAUCAGGAGACACAUGCUCGAACAUUGUGGGAGAAGCUUGAAAGCUUGUAUGCUUCGAGGUCGGGCAAUAACAAGUUAUUUUUGCUGAAGAAAAUGAUGGCGCUGAAAUAUAAAGAAGGAAUGUCUAUAGCUGACCAUGUUAGUGAAUUUCAGAGUAUGAUGAAUCAGUUGCUUGGUAUGGGUGUCAAAUUUGAUGACGAGAUUUUAGGACUUUGGUUGCUUGCUACUCUACCAGACUCUUGGGAGACCUUUCGAGUCUCACUCAUUAAUUCUGCCCCACAGGGUAUUAUUACUUUGAAUUUGGCUAAGAGUGGUGUGUUGAAUGAAGAGGUUAGAAGAAGAUCUCAGGGUUCUACAUCACAGUCCGAGGUGUUGGUUAUCGAGAACAGGGGGAGAAAUAGAGACAAAGAUGGAAAGGGUAGAGAUAAAAGCCGAAGCAAGUCAAGAUCGAGAUACAAGAAUCUUGAGUGUCAUCAUUGUGGUAAGAAAGGUCAUAUCAAGAAAUAUUGCUUCAAGUGGAAGAAAGAGAACAAAGGUGGUGGUGAUAAACACGACCGGAAUGACGAUGAAAAAUCUGAGCGUGUUGCUACUGUUACUCGUGAAGAUUUGUUAGUUAUUUGUGAUCAGAAUUUGGUCAACCUAGCAUGUGACGAGACUAGUUGGGUGAUUGAUACUGGUGCAUCACUUCAUGUCACGUCGAGGAAGGAAUUCUUCACAUCUUAUACUCCUGGUGAUUUUGGGGUAUUGAAGAUGGGUAAUGAUGGUUUGGUUUCGGUUAUUGGUAUGGGAGAUGUUAGCUUGGUAAGUAACAAUGGAACAAAGUUAACUCUCAAGGAUGUCAGACAUGCACCGGAUGUCCGUUUGAAUUUGAUUUCUGCAGGAAAGCUUGAUGAUGAGGGAUUCUGUAACACCUUCAGUGAAGGGCAGUGGAAGCUGACUAAAGGCUCCUUAGUUGUGGCUCGAGGAAAGAAGAGCUCAAAUUUGUACUUGAUGCAAGCUUUGACUUCUCGAGAGACGGUGAAUGUGACACUGAAUGACAACUCAACUGAGUUGUGGCAUAAACGACUCAGUCACAUGAGUGAGAAGGGGCUUAGCUGUUUAGCGAAGAAGAAUCAACUUUCGGGUUUAAAGAAUGCUACACUGAAGAAUUGUGCUCAUUGUCUAGCAGGAAAGCAGAAAAGAGUUUCAUUUAGAAGCCAUCCUCCUCAUAGGAAAUCAGAGUUGCUAGAGUUGGUCCAUUCAGAUGUUUGUGGUCCGAUAAAAGUAAGAUCACAUGGUGGUGCACUUUACUUUGUGACUUUCAUUGAUGAUUGUUCAAGAAAGCUAUGGGUUUACACUUUGAAGUCUAAAAAUCAAGUCUUUGAGGUGUUUAAACAGUUUCAAGCAUCAGUUGAAAGGGAAACUGGGAAGAAGUUGAAGUGCAUUCGUACUGAUAAUGGUGGCGAGUACACAGGGUCGUUUCAUGAGUAUUGUCUGCGACAGGGAAUCAGACAUCAGAGAACACCACCAAAGACUCCACAGUUAAAUGGGUUAGCUGAAAGAAUGAACCGAACAUUGAUUGAGAGAGUCAGAUGUUUGUUGUCAGAUGCAAAGUUACCAAGAUCGUUUUGGGCUGAAGCUUUGAAUACAGUGACACUUGUGAUAAAUCUGUCUCCUAGUGUUCCUUUGAAAGGUGAUGUGCCAGAUAGAGUUUGGUUUGGUAAAGACGUGUCAUAUGAUCACCUACGUGUGUUCGGUUGUAAAGCAUUUGUUCAUGUUCCAAAGGAUGAAAGAUCCAAGUUGGAUGCCAAGGCUCGACAAUGCAUUUUUAUUGGUUAUGGUCUAGAUGGUGAGUUUGGUUAUAGACUCUAUGAUCCAGUUCAGAAGAAACUCGUGAGAAGCAGAGAUGUUGUCUUCAUUGAGGAUCAGACCAUUGAUGACAUUGAUAAGACGGAGAAAGUGGAUUCACAAGGUAGUGGUGACUUGAUCGAUGUGAAUCCGGUUCCCCUAGACUCUUCACCAGAUCCUAUCCAAGAUGUUGUGCAUGGUGAUGUUAGUGGUGACCAUCAGACUAUAGGUGACUUUGAUACUCCCAUGGAUGAUGUUGUGAAUGAUCAACAACAAGCACCUAUAGCUCCACCAGCAGUUCCACUUCGAAGGUCUUCCAGAGACCGACGAUCUUCUGUCAGGUAUUCUCCUGAUGAAUAUGUUCUUUUGACUGAUGGGGGAGAACCUGAAUGUUAUGAAGAGGCUAUGGAGAGUGAAUGCAAAGAUCAGUGGGUUGAAGCGAUGAAAGACGAACUUCAAUCCUUGCAUGAGAACCAUACUUUUGAAUUGGUGAAACUGCCUAAAGGCAAAAGAGCUUUGAAGAAUCGGUGGGUUUACAGGUUGAAGCAAGAAGAGAAGUCUUCAUCUCCACGAUACAAAGCUAGAUUGGUCGUCAAGGGUUAUACUCAGAAAAAGGGGGUUGAUUUUGAAGAAAUAUUUUCUCCGGUUGUGAAGAUGUCCUCUAUCAGAACUAUACUGAGUUUGGUAGCUUGUUAUGACCUAGAGGUUGAACAAAUGGAUGUGAAAACUGCUUUUCUUCAUGGUGACUUGGAAGAAGAGCUUUACAUGGAGCAGCCAGAGGGUUUUGUUGCACAAGGGAAAGAGGACUAUGUGUGCAGAUUGAAGAAGAGCUUGUAUGGUUUGAAGCAAGCUCCAAGACAAUGGUACAAGAAGUUUGAGUCUGUUAUGGGGGAGCAAGGCUACAAGAAGACUACUUCUGAUCAUUGUGUGUUUGUUAAGAGAUUCUAUGGUGAUGAUUUUAUUAUUCUUUUGCUCUAUGUUGAUGAUAUGCUUAUUGUUGGUCAGAAUGCUUCUAGAAUUGAGAAGUUGAAACAAGAGUUGAGUAAAUCCUUUGCAAUGAAGGAUUUGGGGCCAGCAAAGCAAAUUCUUGGCAUAAGACUGACACGUGAUAGAAAGGCCAAGAAAUUAUGGUUAUCACAAGAGAGGUACAUUGAGAAAGUACUUCAAAGGUUUAGUAUGGACAAAGCUAAAGCGGUGAAUACUCCCUUUGCUAUGCACUUUAGAUUGAGUGUUAAGCAUAGUCCUUCCACAGAAAAGGAGAAGGAAGAGAUGCAGAAAAUUCCUUACUCUUCAGCCGUGGGUAGUUUGAUGUACGCAAUGGUUUGCACGAGACCAGACUUGGCUUAUGCCGUUGGUACAGUUAGUCGGUUUCUUUCUAAUCCAGGCAGAGAGCAUUGGAAUGCAGUGAAGUGGAUUAUGAGAUAUCUUCGUGGCACUUCCAACAUGAAACUUUGUUUCGGCAAUAAGAAACCUAUUCUUGUUGGGUAUACAGAUUCAGACAUGGCCGGAGACAUUGACUCGAGGAGCUUUGGGGUUUUUAACGGGUGUUGGGCAGAAAUUUUAAGAGAGCAAAAAAAAAAUAUCUCAAAUUAAAAACAGAGAGAAAGAGAAUAGAAAAAAAUCAGAUUUUCAAGCUUGGUGCAGCAGUGAUCAACUCUUCGAUCGAAGGUCCAUCCGUGGUUCGAUUGAGCUGAUUUUUGGACAGCAGCUAGGUGAUAAGGUGUUCUUGACUUUGUACGGUCGGAUUUUUCAUCCGAGUCUUGUAGCGUCGGAAAUACCCAUUUUUCAGCAGCUACGUUUUUGGUGAUGUUCUCUCAUUUUUCUCUCUUUUGCUAAAGAUUACAUGUUGUUAGCCUUGUCGAAGUUGAAUGCUUGUUGUAGGCUUGAUAUUGUGAUCUUGUAGUUGAACAUUUGAUGAUAGUGGAGCUCUUUAUCGGACUCUAAAGUCCCGUGGUUUUUACCCUUAAUUUAGAGGGGUUUUCCACGUAAAAAUAUCGGUGUCUCUAUUUAUUUUUGUUGUGGUUGCAUUAGUUGAUUUGUGGUUGAUUAAGGUUGCUAGAGAACAUAUCUUGUGCUAUUGUGCUUGCCAUAAUUUUUACAGGAGUUAUAAGGAGAGAAAGAACACCGGUUGUGCUUUCGCUUUGUUUCGGUUGUUCGGUUUCUUCCC
rnacentral:lncRNA from 1 species